GACGAACGCUGGCGGCGUGCUUAACACAUGCAAGUCGAACGAUGAACCCGGAGCUUGCUCUGGGGGAUUAGUGGCGAACGGGUGAGUAACACGUGAGUAACCUGCCCUGGACUCUGGGAUAAGCGUUGGAAACGACGUCUAAUACCGGAUAGGACCUUGGAUCGCAUGAUCUGGGGUGGAAAGUUUUUUCGGUCUGGGAUGGACUCGCGGCCUAUCAGCUUGUUGGUGAGGUAAUGGCUCACCAAGGCGUCGACGGGUAGCCGGCCUGAGAGGGUAACCGGCCACACUGGGACUGAGACACGGCCCAGACUCCUACGGGAGGCAGCAGUGGGGAAUAUUGCACAAUGGGCGAAAGCCUGAUGCAGCAACGCCGCGUGCGGGAUGACGGCCUUCGGGUUGUAAACCGCUUUUAGUAGGGAAGAAGGGCUUCGGCUUGACGGUACCUGCAGAAAAAGGACCGGCUAACUACGUG
rnacentral:rRNA from 1 species